UUUUGAGUAAUGAUGAACAACUGUGUUUAGGACUAUAGUUUCUGAUGCUGCUACUUUGUUGGUGGUAGUUGAAGACCAGACCCUUGCCUAUCUCAACUCAGUC
rfam:Zea mays cultivar B73 chromosome 1, whole genome shotgun sequence.